rnacentral:rRNA from 1 species
UACGGAGGGUGCAAGCGUUAUCCGGAUUCACUGGGUUUAAAGGGUGCGUAGGUGGGUUGGUAAGUCAGUGGUGAAAUCUCCGUGCUUAACAUGGAAACUGCCAUUGAUACUACUGAUCUUGAAUUUUCAGAAGGUAAGCGGAAUAUGUCAUGUAGCGGUGAAAUGCUUAGAUAUGACAUAGAACACCAAUUGCGAAGGCAGCUUACUACAGGAAUAUUGACACUGAUGCACGAAAGCGUGGGGAUCAAACAGG